rnacentral:rRNA from 1 species
CGGAGGGUGCAAGCGUUGUCCGGAUUUAUUGGGUUUAAAGGGUGCGUAGGCGGCUUUUUAAGUCAGUGGUGAAAUCCUUCAGCUUAACUGGAGAAUUGCCAUUGAUACUGGAAAGCUUGAGUACAGACGAGGUAGGCGGAAUUUAUGGUGUAGCGGUGAAAUGCUUAGAUACCAUAAAGAACACCGAUUGCGAAGGCAGCUUACUAGGCUGUAACUGACGCUGAGGCACGAAAGUGUGGGGGAUCAAACAGGAUUAGAUACCCUGGUAGUCCACACCGUAAACGAUGAUUACUCGAUGUGUGCGAUAGACAGUACGCGUCCAAGCGAAAGCGUUAAGUAAUCCACCUGGGGAGUACGAUCGCAAGAUUG